AUUUUUGGUUAAUUUGUUUCUAGUGCUUUUGAUAUUGUUCUUCUUCUUGCCUUUACUUUGUUUACUUACCCCUAAACAGCGUUUUGCGUGAUGCAGUUUUAGUGUAAGCACUAGCAUCAUAGAAUUGCAUCAUUGAAGCAGAUGCACUUGGUAUAAAUAUAAUGUAAAAUGUUAAAAACGAAUAUCGCAUUGUCACAAGGGCAACUUUUUAAAAUCGAAGUUUGAUUAUCGAAUGUGUCAAAGUGUGAAAGAAUAAGUUGGCAGGGCCGAUAAAUAGGGAAUUCGAUAAAAGCCAACAAUAUUGAAUGUGGCAACUGUGGUGAUAAAAGACAAAGAAUUAAAAACAAUUCAACCAGUAUGUCGCGUGCCUUCGCAAUUGAAAUGACUUCUUUAAAAGCAUCUGUUGUCUGCCUUCAGGAAUGCAUUGUGAGGGCGCAGGUGCUCCUUGCCAAUAUUGUCACUACUCAGAAUGUCAACAAGCAUCAUGAGAAUAUAGAAGGUUGCCUUACUACGGUUAAGUUGGCAUUGGAUAUUGUGCGCUUACAUCUUCUGAAACUUAAAGAUAUCAAUCGUCUUUUUCUGGAUAUGAAGCUGAAUUAUUUGCGUCGCUCCAAUAGAAAUUAAUACAUAAUUUCAGUUAAAAAUAUGUAUCAAAUACCCUGCACAUAAAUAUUAAAUGUGUUUUACUAAUUCA